AGGAAGUACAUAUUGGAGAUACAUGAAGAGAAGCAGGAAGAAACCCAACUAUGCCUGUAGAAGUUUGAGCUCCUGGAGGAGGCCCAGCUCCUCUGAAACCUCCUCCAUGAUCUCCUGAGCAGCAUCCUGCAUGGACUGACUGUUGUUUAGAAGCAGGUCAAAGUUGUUGGAGAAUGUUUGCCCCAGCCACAUGCUCUGAGCCAGUCAAACUACUUGUGGAUCUUCAUUCCCCUUUUACUGAUGUGGGUCAUCACCGCCUUCUACUUCACAAAGAGAGAAAAAAGAUGGAUCCUCUUCCUCUACAAUCUACAGAUCCAGAAACUUUCUCCUUCAUCAAAAGACAAUGACAUCGGCUAAGAAAUCAAAAACAGACAUUUAUAAAGAACACCUCAAUCGCUUUGGAGACAUUCUUGUCUACAUCUGCUCCGGAGGUGAAACAAUGGCGGACUGAUGACAGCUCACUCAGG
ensembl:lncRNA